rnacentral:lncRNA from 1 species
CAAAGGGAAAAGAAAAACCCAGAGAAGCAAAGGGAAAAAAGCUGAUCUGAAGGCAAAACCUUGCACCACCCAUCCACUGGAGUCAUCCUUGCUGACCACAAGAUAUCUCUUGAAACGGAGAUAAGCAGCAUCCCACUGUAAAUCUUACUCAAGGGAGUUAACCUUAUUGCAGGCAUGUGCACAAGACCAGAAGAAUGACUGAUCUUUACCCUAUCCCUCAUUAUAAUACUGAAAUUCUCACCCAGGGAAGAGCUUAUCCAUCAUAUUUUGAUCAUGCAAUGUAUGCGCUAGCAUGAUUUCUCAUUGUGCCUGCACACCCUGUGCUCCACCCGGCACAUGUAAUGACACUUCCAUACCUCAUGCACAUUCCUGUCACCUUUCCUAGAAACACCACAAAGACCUGCCCUCAGAAAGCCAGCCAGCUAACUCUUGCUCCUGCACUGUCUCCAUUGUGUUCAAACAUAAGCCCCCAAUAAAAGCCUUGUUUGGGAAACUUGCUCAGCCUUGUGUCAAUUUCUAUUAAAUGAGAGCCUAAGAACCUGUGGUUGGUAACUUCAUAGAGUUGGUACAACUCUAUGAAUAUACUAAAGGCCCUUGAGUUGUACACUUUAAAGGAUGGAUUAUAUGGUAUGUGAAUUAUAUUUCUG